rnacentral:rRNA from 1 species
GAUGAACGCUGGCGGCGUGCCUAACACAUGCAAGUCGAGCGAACGGACGAGAAGCUUGUUCCUCUGCUGUUAGCGGCGGACGGGUGAGUAACACGUGGAUAACCUACCUAUAUGACUGGGAUAAUUUCGGGGAACCGGAGAUAAUACCGGAUAAUAUUUUGAACCGCAUGGUGCAAAAGUGAAAGACGGUCUUGGUGUCAGUUAUAGCUGGAUCCGCGCUGGAUUAGCUAGUUGGUAAGGUAACGGCUUACCAAGGCAACGAUGCGUAGCCGACCUGAGGGGGUGAUCGGCCACACUGGAACUGAGACACGGUCCAGACUCCUACGGGAGGCAGCAGUAGGGAAUCUUCCGCAAUGGGCGAAAGCCUGACGGAGCAACACCGCGUGAGUGAUGAAGGUCUUCGGAUCGUAAAGCUCUGUUAUUGGGGAAGAACAUAUGUGUAAGUAACUGUGCACAUCUUGACGGUACCUAAUCAGAAAGCCCCGGCUAACUACGUG